ACAAAGGUAAGUCCGUACUUAAUGUCAACACAAAUAUUUAGAAAAGUUUUAAAAAUGAUGUAGUGAACUGACUGUAGUCUCUUGUUUUUACAUUAGGUAUAGCCUGUGGCUGAGGGAUCAGAGGUGAGGUGCUUUACACUUGUCCUCUCCCAGCAUUCAGCACUUCAGACACUCAACGUCCAAGACGGAGCUAACAAAGAGAGAUACUCCACCCAGAAGACAGCCUUACCCCAGCCCGAUGAGAAGGAUGGAUGACCAAAUGACAAACUGGAGAGUGGUGCUGUGUUCCAGCUAUGGAAGCUGAGAGUGGACAGAGCUGCACAGAGGACCAACGAUCCACUCUCAGCACUUCAUACCUGACUG